rnacentral:lncRNA from 1 species
GUAUCACAACACAUUGAAAUAUAUUUCAAUUUCAAAUUUAUAACCAGCUCUAUAUUUAAAGGAUAAAGUGAGAUGUAUAACCCGACAGUUACGGGAAGAUUGUCACCGCUGAGAACCAUUUUGGAUAAAACCAAAACCGAGUAUUUUAUUCACACAGCUAGCGACAGGAACGUAACUAGUCUUUGCGUUCUCACAAUAAUACAUUAUAUUUCUUAAAAUCAAUUAUUUUUAUUGGUAUUUAAC